AGAGAGGUAGAGAGAGAAAGAGGUGAAGAGAAGAACAAGGAUUUGAAGGGAAUAGCUUGAGGAAUCAAUUGGGGUAAGCUAGGAGCUGAAUUGAAGCAAGAGUUUGAGUUAAUCAUCUUCAAAGGUAAGGGGGUUAGUUAUUAUCAUAAUCAUGUACAAAUUUUGUAUUUUCUCAUGUUGUAUGAAAAUGGGUUGAUGAACAAUUGUUGAUAAAUUCGUGCUCUUGCUGUGAUGCUAUUUUCUUGUGCAUGAAUUGAUGAUUAUGGUAUGUUUGUGGGUGAAAUUACAUGUUUCAAAGUAUGUAUAAAUGUUAAGUAAUGAAAUUAUACUUAAUUGAUGAAAUUUGAUAUGUUUUGAUUGAAAUAAGAUGUAAUUCAUAUUCCAUUGAUGUUGUUAUUGUUAACUGAUGUUAUUGUGAAUGAAUCAUUGCUUGGGUACGCAUAUUCAUGAAUUGAUGAUGAGAAUUUGAAUUGUUGUUGGUGUUUUGGUGAAAUUGGUGAAUUAUGACAUGUUGUUGUUGAAACAUGAUGGAAUGCAUGAUCAUAAGUUGUGGUUGUGGUUAAUUGUUGAUGAUAAUCUCAUUACAUGACUUGGGUAUGAAUUAUGUUGAGAUGUUGUUGUGAAUUGUGUUGAAUUGGAAGAAAUGAAUUGUUGUUGUUAUUGAAGACUUAUUGUUUUGAGAAAAAUCAUUUUAACAAUUUCAUAACUUGUACAAAUGCCACGAAACGAGCGAGUUUGAUGUGUUAGAGCCUCGGGUUAUGCCUCGGAUCACUUUUGAUGAUUGAGGACUUUAAACAUUCGAUUUUUGGUCGAAAUUGGCGAAAACCCGCGGCCGAAACACGCGAAAACGCGCGUUUACGGAGCGCUGCGCCUGAACAAGGGCGCUAGGCGCCCACAAGUCAGGGAGCCAGCGCUGGGCGCCCUACUGCUAGCGCUAGGCGCUUCAGACAGGGCAACAUGCUUGUUGCUCCGUGUCCGGGUGCUUGGGGGUGGUCGUGUGAGGGUCCUAGGCGAUCGUUUUGAAGUGUUAUUUUGCUGUUUUCACCUACUUUUCUACUGGAAUACAUUUGGCUUUGUUGAAACUUUAAUUUUCCAAAUGGUUUGAAACUUGAGUUUGUAUCGUUUUCGGUUUUUCGGAAAUUGUCGAAACUUGGAAUUUUUGUGAACAAAAGGGUUGCAAGCUUGGUCUACAGUUCAUAUGGGCUUAGGCAAUGCUUGUAAAGUUGGUACAAUGUCUUAAUCAUGUUAAACUUGGAUUUCGGGUGGGAAUGUGAAAAAUGUGAACUUGGGAUUUUCUCAUACGAACUUAGGCUAAUCUUUGAACUAAUGAUUGAUAGUUCGUAAGUGGCCUAUGCUCAUAUUUAUAUGAUUAAUUAAGAUUGAAUUGUAGGAUUUUAAACUUGAAUAAGUUGCCUAGCUUUGAAAAUUAUCAAUGUUGGCCGUUUGCCACAUGAUUUGGAUUUUUGUCGGAAGUGUUUCUUGAGCCAAUUGUCUUGUGAGUUAUUGUGACCAUUCUUAUAUGACUAAGUGAAGUUGUAUGAAUGAAUGAUUGUAUUGAAUAUGAUGUUUAUCAUGAGAUGAGUAUGCUAUCUUACUUAGGAUGUAAGAAAUGCUUGUAUUGGUGAAACUAUAUGUGAUAGUUGAUGUUGAAUGACAUUGUUGAUUAUUGAUAAUCAUGUUGAUGUAUGAUGAAUCGUAGAUGUUGAAUAUGAUAUUUGUCAUGAGAUGUUGUAUGUUCUCUUAUUUGGAAUAUGAGAAUUGUUUGGAAUGGUGAAACUAUAUGAUAUAGUUAAUGUUGAAUGAUGUUGUUGAUUAUUGAUAAUCAUGUUGGAGUGUGAUGGUGAAUACUAUGAUUUAAUUGUGUAUAAGCAUGUUUUCUUGAUAAUGCAAAUGUUGUGGAGAUAAUCAAUAUAAUUGGGUGUCGUCCUAUAUAUUGAGGUUGAAAUUGUGGAUUGUUGUCGCAUUAUCGAGUCCUUAUACAUGUCCAUGCAUCAUAGUCGAGAUGAAAUGAUGUUUUAUUCAUUAUUGGGCUCCGGCCUAGCAGAGAUCUUUUGAGGUCUAGUUUUAGGGCUUCAGCAUGGCAGAGAUCUUUUGAGAUCUGGAUACGAUGUUUUAUUCGUUAUAGGGCUUCGGCCUGGCAGAGAUCUUUUGAGAUCUGGAUUUGGGUGACGACCCUUUUUGGAGAUUUGGUACCACAUGCAUAUAUGUGUCGAUAGGUGCAUAUCAUGGCAUGAGUCUUAUUGAUAUAUGUGAUUGGUGAUUGUUCAUGAAAUAUGAUAAUGAUUGUUCAUGGCUUAUGAUUUGUGAUUGUUCAUGAAGUAUAUAUGAUUGGUGAUUGUGUAUGAAUAACUGUGAAUUGAUAUUUGUUCAUGACAUAUGUGAUUGGUGAUUAUUGAUGUGAGCUAUUGGGGUUUGAUGUAAGUAUUGAUGUGAGUAUUUUUAUUGAUCAAAUGCAUGAUGUUUAAAUUGAAAUAUUCAUGUUAACUGUUAUUUGGAUUAUGAUAAUGUAAUACUUACCCCCAUUGGAUCUGUUAUGGACCGCCUGCCUAUCUGUAUGGAUGGGUAGACGUUGUGCAGGUUUAGUUGCUUGGUGAGUUCUUGUGCUUGGUGGAUAUCGGGAGCUUUCUCCGAUAUCGGUGUUUAGAAUUAGUCGGCUCUGAUCUAGGCUUCGUUGUGUCGGUCUAGAUUAGUUUAUUUUGGAUUUUGUUAUGUUUGGAGAUUACCCGUUUGUUGGGAUUUUUGAGAUGCAUCUAUGUUGAUGUAAUUUAUUUAUUCAUAACAUGUAUAUUUGAAUUUACUCUAGUUUAUAUUCUGCUGCGACUGUUG
rnacentral:lncRNA from 1 species